AUGAAGUGCAACAGGUCUGGUAAACCUAGAAACAGGACAAAACCGACAGCAGCAGUAGCAAAAAGGAGAAAGUACAAAGGUGAUAAGAAUGCACCUAGCGUGCUUGAGAAUACAACAGAUAGAAGAAGGAAUUACACAAUCAAAACGGGGUGUCAAGCUCAAAUGGUGGUUACCUGGAAAUUUGAGCUCGAACAAUGGGUGGUCAUAAGGCUGAUCAUUCAGCAUAAUCAUGAACUCCAUCCACCAGGAGAAAUCAGGUUCCUGAAAUCACACAAGUAUAUCACUGAGCAAGAGAAAGACUUGAUCAGGACUUGCAAAAGAGUAAAUAUGCCAACUAGAAAAAUAAUGGCAAUCAUGUCAUUCUUCCGAGGAAGAGGGCUAUCUUCAUUGUCUUACACACCAAAAUAGAUUAGCAACAUGGGCACAAAAAUGAGAAGAGAAAAUGGUCUGAAUGAUAUGACGCAAGUGGUGUCAUUUUUUGAACAAAAAAAAAAUAGAAGAUCCACUAUUUUCUACUCAUUCAAAACGGAUCCAAAGAAGAAUGUGAUGCAUAUAUUUUGGGCAGAUGGCACUGGAAUAAGAAACUAUCAACAGUAUGGCGAUCUUCUCAGUUUCGACACAACCUACAAGACCAACAAAUACAAUCUGAAAUUUGCUCCAUUUGUGGGAGUAAAUGGUCAUGGGGACAACUGCCUUUUUGCAUGUGGUUUCAUUCAAGAUGAGAAGAAGGAAACAUUCAAGUGGCUCUUCAACACAUUUCUGAAAUGCAUGGGAGGGAAAGGUCCUCAAACUGUCAUAACAGAUCAAGACGCAGCUAUGAAAAAAGCAGUGCCUAAAUGCUUUCCAAAUUGCAAGCACAGGAACUAUUUGUUCCACAUCCUCACAAAAGCUCAAAACAAAGCUAGAAGGACAUUUGGCAAGAACCAACACUUGAAUGCUCAGUUUCAUGACAUAAUCCUAAACUCCCAAACAGUGCAAGAAUUUGAGCAACUAUGGCCAAGAAUGAUUCAGCAGCACAAUGUUGAGCAUAUCAAGUACUUUGCAAUUAUGUGGAAAAACAGGAAGAGAUUCAUACCUGUCUACUUCAAGAAUUACUUUUAUCCAUUUAUCCAGACAACAGCCAGAAGCAAAGGCACAAAUGCUAUAUUCAAAGCAAAUGUAGGUUCAACUCAUAGUGUGAUUGCUUUCAUGACAGAGUAUGAUAGAAUAUCACAAAGCAUUGAAGAAAAAAGAAAAGAAAAUGAUUCUGUAACAAGAAGAACUUCUCCAACAAUGUGGAGUGACUGGGCAUUGGAAAAGUAGGCAGCAAGACUGUACAACAGAGGCAUUUUCUACAAAUUCCAAGAGUUAAUGAAUUCAACUAAGUUUCACAUGGUUGAAGUGGAAAGAAACAAAUAGUAUGAGGUGUUCAAGUCACCAACUCAAGCACUAUUUGAGUAUAACCCCAGAACUUUCAUAAUCAUGGUGGACAUAGACUCUGAAACUUUCACAUGCAUAUGUGGAAAAUAUGAAAAGGACGGAAUACUAUGUUGUCAUGCACUCAAAGUGAUGCAAGCAUUGAACAUUGAUGAUAUAGCAGAAAAGUAUUUCAUUGAUAGAUGGAGACCUAAAGAAAAGAAAUCAGAACAAGUAAGUGAACAAGUCACAAACCUUGAGGAUUUGGAUGAUCAAAUGGCUUUCUUCUCAUUCUCAAGAAGGCUCACUGAGUUAGCUUCUGAAGCGUCAAAAAAUCCUGCAAGGAGGAAAGUUCUAAGUGAGCAGAUAACCAAUUUAGAGAAAUUAAUUUUGGCCAUACCUUGCAUGCCAGAAGGUGAAGAACCAAAAGUUGUUCGUCAGAAGUAG
rnacentral:rRNA from 1 species